GGCGAACGGGUGAGUAACGGGUGGAAAACCUGCCCUUCAAUGGGGGAUAACAGUUCUAACGAGCUGCUAAUACCGCAUACGACCCCUGGACCGCAUGGUCCGAGGGUGAAAGGUGGCCUCUCUUUGAAGCUGCCGUUGAAGAAUGGUUCCGCCUCCCAUUAGCUUGUUGGUGGGGUAAUGGCCUACCAAGGCGACGAUGGGUAGCCGGCCUGAGAGGGUGUCCGGCCACACUGGGACUGAGAUACGGCCCAGACUCCUACGGGAGGCAGCAGUCGAGAAGCUUCCGCAAUGGGCGAAAGCCUGACGGAGCGACGCCGCGUGAGUGAAGAAGGCCCUAUGGGUUGUAAAACUCUGUCAGAUUGGGAAGAAAGCACGACGGUUAAUACCCGACGUGUGUGACGGUACCAUCAGAGGAAGCACCGGCUAACUCCGUGCCAGCAGCCGCGGUAAUACGGAGGGUGCAAGCGUUGUUCGGAUUCACUGGGUAUAAAGGGUGCGCAGGCGGCCCGAUAAGUCAGGGGUGAAAUAUGACGGCUCAACCGUCAAACUGCCCCUGA
rnacentral:rRNA from 1 species